rnacentral:tRNA from 1 species
GCUCUUAUCUAGCUAGCGGUCUAGGCGACUGGCCUUUCAAGUCAGGGACACGGGUUCGAAUCCCGUUAGGAGCACCA